rnacentral:rRNA from 1 species
CUACGGGUUGCAGCAGUGAGGAAUUUUGCGCAAUGGGGGAAACCCUGACGCAGCAACGCCGCGUGAGUGAAGAAGGCUUUCGGGUCGUAAAGCUCUGUCAGAUAGGAAAAAAGUUCAUAUGUAAAUAGCUUAUGAAUCUGAUGGUACUAUCAGAGGAAGCACCGGCUAACGCGCGUGCCAGCAGCCGCGGUAAUACGGAGGGUGCAAGCGUUGUUCGGAAUUACUGGGCGUAAAGGGCGUGUAGGCGGUAUGGUAAGUCAGAUGUGAAAGCCCUGGGCUUAACUCAGGAAGUGCAUUUGAUACUGCCAUCCUUGAGUAUGGGAGAGGAGAGUAGAAUUCCCAGUGUAGAGGUGAAAUUCGUAGAUAUUGGGAGGAAUACCCGUAGCGAAGGCGACUCUCUGGACCAAUACUGACGCUGAGACGCGAAAGCGUGGGGAGCAAACAGGAUUAGAUACCCCGGUAGUC